rnacentral:rRNA from 1 species
CGGCCCAGACUCCUACGGGAGGCAGCAGUGGGGAAUUUUGGACAAUGGGCGCAAGCCUGAUCCAGCCAUGCCGCGUGCGGGAAGAAGGCCUUCGGGUUGUAAACCGCUUUUGUCAGGGAAGAAAAGGUUCUGGCUAAUACCUGGGACUCAUGACGGUACCUGAAGAAUAAGCACCGGCUAACUACGUGCCAGCAGCCGCGGUAAUACGUAGGGUGCAAGCGUUAAUCGGAAUUACUGGGCGUAAAGCGUGCGCAGGCGGUUAUGCAAGACAGAGGUGAAAUCCCCGGGCUCAACCUGGGAACUGCCUUUGUGACUGCAUGGCUAGAGUACGGUAGAGGGGGAUGGAAUUCCGCGUGUAGCAGUGAAAUGCGUAGAUAUGCGGAGGAACACCGAUGGCGAAGGCAAUCCCCUGGACCUGUACUGACGCUCAUGCACGAAAGCGUGGGGAGCAAACAGGAUUAGAUACCCU